rnacentral:rRNA from 1 species
GUGUCAGCCGCCGCGGUAAUACCGGCGGCCCGAGUGGCGGCCACUUUUAUUGGGCCUAAAGCGUCCGUAGCCGGGCUGGUAAGUCCUCCGGGAAAUCUGGUCGCUUAACGAUCAGACUGCCGGAGGAUACUGCCAGCCUUGGGACCGGGAGAGGCCGGGGGUAUUCCCGGGGUAGGGGUGAAAUCCUGUAAUCCCGGGAGGACCACCUGUGGCGAAGGCGCCCGGCUGGAACGGGUCCGACGGUGAGGGACGAAGGCCAGGGGAGCGAACCGGAUUAGAUACCCGGGUAGUCCUGGCUGUAAACGAUGCGGACUAGGUGUCACCGAAGCUACGAGCUUCGGUGGUGCCGGAGGGAAGCCGUUAAGUCCGCCGCCUGGGGAGUACGGCCGCAAGGCUGAAACUCAAAUGAAUUGACGGGG